rnacentral:rRNA from 1 species
AUUGAACGCUGGCGGCAUGCUUUACACAUGCAAGUCGAACGGUAACAGGGUGCUUGCACCGCUGACGAGUGGCGAACGGGUGAGUAAUGCGUCGGAACGUGCCGUGUAGUGGGGGAUAACGCAGCGAAAGUUGUGCUAAUACCGCAUACGUACUGAGGUAGAAAGUGGGGGACCUUCGGGCCUCACGCUAUUCGAGCGGCCGACGUCUGAUUAGCUAGUAGGUGAGGUAAAGGCUCACCUAGGCGACGAUCAGUAGCGGGUCUGAGAGGAUGAUCCGCCACACUGGGACUGAGACACGGCCCAGACUCCUACGGGAGGCAGCAGUGGGGAAUUUUGGACAAUGGGCGAAAGCCUGAUCCAGCCAUGCCGCGUGUCUGAAGAAGGCCUUCGGGUUGUAAAGGACUUUUGUCAGGGAGGAAAUCCCUAGCGUUAAUACCGCUGGGGGAUGACAGUACCUGAAGAAUAAGCACCGGCUAACUACGUGCCAGCAGCCGCGGUAAAAC